GGACACACAACCCAACACUUUGCAUACGAGGAAACACGACAAGACAAUAUUUAAAUAAAUUCGGAUCUCACAACUUAACUUCUGGACAUGAAAUGAAAUAAGAGUAUAUUUAUUAUUUACCUAACUUCCCAUCAACAUAUGCUGGGCAUUGUGGCAAAGAAGGAUGUUACAAGUACAACUAUUUUGACAUCAUGAUUAAUAGUUCUCUCACAUACAAGAGGUGGGGCCCACGAUUAUAAUAAUCGCGAGCACCACGAUUGUGAAUGGACUGUCGAAAAGAGUGUACAACAUCAUAAUCGCAAGCACCACGAUUGUUAAUGAACUGUCGAAAAGAGUGUACAACAAAUGCUGUACACUCAGCGUUAUGCUAGUGGCAAAUGAAGUUGUGUUAAGACUUAANNNNN
rnacentral:lncRNA from 1 species